CAGAGGUGCGUAGAACAAAACUAAAAAAAAAAAAAACCCCUACGCUACAUGAGGUAAGUUCAACCCCCUACGCUACACGAGGUGAGUUCAACCCCCUACGCUACACGAGGUAAGUUCAACCCCCUACGCUACACGAGGUGAGUUCAACCCCCUACGCUACAUGAGGUAAGUUCAACCCCCUACGCUACACGAGGUGAGUUCAACCCCCUACGCUACACGAGGUAAGUUCAACCCCCUACGCUACACGAGGUGAGUUCAACCCCCUACGCUACAUGAGGUAAGUUCAACCCCCUACGCUACACGAGGUAAGUUCAACCCCCUACGCUACAUGAGGUAAGUUCAACCCCCUACGCUACACGAGGUGAGUUCAACCCUCAACCCCUGCCCUGUAGAAGUGGUCAAUGAGUUACUGGACCACGACAUAUCGACACGGUGAACUACGAGGGAGACACGCCCGACGACAUACUGCGCGCCUCGCAGCAGUCCCUCGCAGCUAUCGUCAACCCCCUACGCUACACGAGGUGAGUUCAACCCCCUACGCUACAUGAGGGAAGUUCAACCCCCUACGCUACACGAGGUGAGUUCAACCCCCUACGCUACAUGAGGUAAGUUCAACCCCCUACGCUACAUGAGGUAAGUUCAACCCCCUACGCUACAUGAGGUAAGUUCAACCCCCUACGCUACAUGAGGUAAGUUCAACCCCCUACGCUACACGAGGUAAGUUCAACCCCCUACGCUACACGAGGUGAGUUCAACCCCUGAACCCCUGCCCUGUAGAAGUGGUCAAUGAGUUACUGGACCACGACAUAUCGACACGGUGAACUACGAGGGAGACACGCCCGACGACAUACUGCGCGCCUCGCAGCAGUCCCUCGCAGCUAUCGUCAACCCCCUACGCUACACGAGCCUCAAAUGCCUAGCGGCGCGCACGGUGAAGAACUACCGCCUGCCCUACCGACACGUGGUCCCCACCUGCCUACACUCCACCAUCAUCACGCACUGAGCCGCCAGGUCAGUGACCUCUAUGGUCCCUAGCACCUCCAGAGAUUUGUCCUGCGAUCAACAAGAUCUUUCAAGUCAACCACUCAUUAAAAUUGUAGCUGUGAGAAGCGAUGACGUCAGCGCGAUCUCAACGAAUUCAAAGCACCGGAUUGGUCGGUCGGUUAAAUUUCCACUUUGACAGAUGUCAACAUGUCACCCGGUUUGACAGAUGCAGAUGCGAGCGAAACGGUUGUAGUGUAUUUAGAAUUUGAAAAUUUAUUUUGAGGCUAUUAUAUUGUUUUAGUGCCGAUGCCGACGGGAUUUUUGAGACCAAUUUGAUUUGAAAAUUGGAGCAUUGGAAAAAGCGUGUUUAUCUAAAAGCCAUAUUAAUUUUGCAAGCUUGAUAUUAAAUAUCCUAACGGUACGCACUGUGCGAUUACUAGGCACUUUAUUUAUAAUUUUCAGUGUAUUUAUUUAUGAUUGUGCAAUUUUAGAAGCUAAAUUUGUAUAAAUUCUUCAUUUUGUCGACAUAGAUCUUUUUGAUUUUGAAUUUUACAUUUCUGAUAUGUUUAAGCAUUGAUGAUUUAUAUCAUUUUGAGCAAUAACUUUAUUUUUUCUUACCUACUUAUAUUUUUAUAAAUUUUAAUACUGCCAGGAAUUGACGAUUGUUAGACAAGUUUAUUUAAUAAUUUUUAACUUUAUCCUUUUUAUAAUAGUUUUAUUGUAUUAGGAUAGAACCUACUGGAAUUGCAAAUUGAAUGUAAUGUAAAUAGUAUAAUAUUGUGGAAUAGUAAAUUUCAGUGCUGUGCCGUAUAAGUCAUGUUGAUAUUAAUCUUAUUUCAUCGCAUUGUAGAGUCGAGUCUUUAUUUGAUAGAGAUAAAACUGUGUAUUUGGAGCUUCUUAACUAUGUACAGACGAUGGUACAUCAAGUAUAACACUGUGCCACGUAAUGUAAUACGUGUGAUUUUUCGACAAGAAUUUGUAACUUGAUGUGUUGGCGACUGUAUCUAGUGACGGAACGAAAUAUUUUUUGACAUAGUAAGAAUACUAAUGUGAAUCCGCCAUCACGAUGAUAUUAAAGCUAACUCAAUGUAAUAAUGCUCAAGCUUAUGGUGUAGUCGGUCGAAGUUGCGUCAUUUUUAUUCUGUGUGUGAGUUACUGUACCGGCUAUGAAACAGGAUAGCUGUUGUCGUUUUGUUUUAUUUUUGACCCAUAUAACACAACAAUGGAUCCUUUGAAUGUUACAGGAAAAGCAUUAUUUCUUUACUUUACCAGAAAGUUGUAUUAAAAUAUCAAUGUUAUAUUAUCCACAAAGUUGCCGCGUUCUGUUGGGGAUUAAAAUCAACUUUCACAAUAUUUCAAUUUGGGCACAAACAUAAUAUUUUUAUCUUAACAUAACUUUUGACGGAUACCCAUUGCAUCACACUUAAUUUAGACCUACAAUAGAAUUAUAGUUGGCCAGACAUAAAUCAGAAUCUAAAAAAUAAAGAUUUACAAAAUUGGGCAGUUUACCAUUCAUCUUCCAGUUAGAUUGUUAGAUUUUAAUAAUAAAAAUCUAUAAACUGUAGAAUGAAAUCAGUUACUAACAAUAUUGUCGUCAUAAAUACCUAUUGCUACUAAAUCUACGAAUUUCAUCUUUGAGUUUCAAAACUGUGUCAUGUGUCAACUGCCCAAUAAUUGAAAAUAUCUUUAUGUAACUGGAAUUGAUUGUGAAUAACUUGCUGACCGUAAUGUGCACCAUAGUAAAUGACAAAAUAUUAACGGGCAGGUAUGGUGGCAGGCUUGCCCGCCGGGCAUAAUUCAAACAUAAUACUUAAAGUACGUCGCCCGCGCGUAUGUAUAUGCCAAAACGCUAUGCCAUGUGUAUAAGAUCGAAACCGGUCUCGCGACCAAGUGAUAUUUGCUUUUAGUUACUGAGCCUCUCCAGUCUCUAUUAGGUUAUUUACACACGAAUUACACUAAGGACUAGAAUAACCGUUCAAUUCGUGUGUUAUCGGCCUCUAGUCCUAUUUUGUAUCUUACUACAUUCUGGGUAAAAUAGUUAAUAUCUUUACGUUUUAAUUCGGUUAAUCGAAAUUGAACUUUAUGUGUGUCACCGAGUGAUCAAUUACGUUUAACGCGUUUAUAUCGAUGUAAAAACAAAUUAGAAAAGUAAGUAGAGUAUUAGAAAUUUUAAUUAUACGAAUAAAUUGGUAUUGUAUAUUAGCUAGAUGGGUAAUAUGACAAAUUAAACUAUUAGAACUGAUUCGAAAAUAAAAAUAUUAAUUUUAUAUUUUAAUUGUCAUGAGCGGUAUGCUAUAUAUUAUUGUGUGUAUUUUGUCAUAGUAUAUUUGAAUUUAGUAAUACUGCGUGAUUACAUGAUACUAGUUAUUUUUGAAAUUAAAUAAAAUGCUUUAAAAUA